AAGGGGCACGCGAAAAGACCCAUUUCCCCUGCCUUAUCCCAAUACAUGGUGCUCCUUCUCCUUCUAGCUCGAUGACCGGUGGGGAACAAUGCUAGAGAGCACCAAGUCUUUUCGCCUAUGUAUUGGUGGGGAACAAUGGAAGCAAAGCAGCAAUGUUCCCCUGAACCCUAGAAGUAUAAGAGUAAGAGAGCAGCAGGUGCUGCUUCGCUAUCUGGUUUGCUUCGAUUGGGGGGAGAAGAGCACAGGAGAGGGGAAUGAACAUUGCUGCUUGCUUGAAUAGAGGAGGGAGAGAGCGAUGGGAUAAGCAGGUAGAUGGCGUCAGGUGCUGUGGUGUUCUGCUAUUCCAUUGGAGAAUGGAUGGAUGGAGGUGUUGAAUAAUUCUUGUGCAGGUAGUUACUAGUUUCAGAGUCUUUUUCGGUUUUGAUUCUGUUCAAUGUGCAUGGCUAAGUUAGCUGGCCGUACGUUUGGGAGCUGUGACGUGCGCACGCUCGGACGGGAGCGCGCCUCGCGCACUGCGAUUCCAAAAAUGACUCGCCGCGAACGUGCACUCAGCGGGUUACUGCAAUUCUCAAGCUUGGGAUGGCAGGCUUCGUCAAAGGAUUGUGGCGCGUAUCUCAGCUCAACAGCCGGUUGUAAUUAUCUUCAUAUUCGGUGGCAACAGAGUUCAGAAAAGCUGCAAGUCGGCCAGUGAUCUCGCCGGCGGCGCGUUGGCGGCGUCGACACUCCAGCAAGCUCUGGCAGGAGGUGUGCUGGUGGCGUGGGGGGAUCUAGAGCAGAGAGAGCUGAUUCUGGUGGCCGUCGCUUGAAAAGGAAAAGAGAAAUCUUGCUCGGACUUGCUUGGUUCGGUGGAGAAGAAAUCAAAGAGGAAUUUGGAGGAGGGCUCUGUUCUGCUUCGGUUGGUGCCGGCGCCUUCGCCGGCAAUGACGGCGAGAUCGCCUCCGCUUCCCUCUUCCACAACCGCCGCUUGCCUCUCUGAUCAACCGGGACAUACACACAACAUCAAAAUUCCCGUUCGAGACCACCACGCACCAUCAAAGUCGGGUCUUUUAUUCUACCCACAUCAGUAGGAAGGUCAGUAAUUCCAUUUAAAUCUACUUGAUCACUGGUCCAUCGAUUCUAGGGUUCUUCCGUUCCGUACAUCUCACAAAUACACCAAAAUCCAAAGGAAAUCUAACCGUAAUAGGUCUUGUCGAUAUCACCCUAGACCAGAAGAACAAAUGCGCCACGCAAAUUUUCGGCUUUGGCUUCAGAAACCGAGGAUAAGGAGAGGAAACGCAGGUGCAAAAUGGGCCGACAAAAGAAAAGAAACAAGGAUUUGGGUGCUGGAGUGAGAGAACAAGAGAGAGAGGGAGAGCGGAGACCUUGCAGCCGAAUCCGGAGGCCUCGGAGUGGAUGCCGCGGUGGUGGCUGGUGCCGGCGAUGUCGAGUCCGUUUCGGCUUCCGGAACCGCCGCUUCUCGCCUUCCUCCUCUCGUCGUUGCACCCUUUUCUUCUCUGCUGCUUUUUUUUAGGGGUUUUCUUCUCUGCUGCUGUUCGUUAUGAUCUCCGUUGUGGGCCAAGUUUGGGCCUCGUGGGCUAUCGCUCAACAACUAACACACUUCCGUAUUGGAUUUUUUUAAAAUAUCUUCCUCAGAAGUGUAUUUGUAAGGAUGUACUUGUAAUCCUUCGGAUGAAUAAAUAAAAUGCAACCCGGUUUCUAAAAAAAAUACCACUCCUAUUUAUUUGAUAAAUUUUGGAAGGAGCUAAUUUUAAGAGUUUGAUACCUGGUUUCAUUGCCACGAUCUUUAUUUGACUUUUGAAUGCUGUUGUGUGUUACUACUGCGUGCUUAUCGAUCUGUACGUACGGUAAAGUAUCCAAUUCUUUCUUUAAAAAAGGUGUUCAAGGGUAGAUACAUACAGCCAUGCACGAGAUACAUAGCGUUAGAGUAGUGGUACACUGUCAAAGCAUCCUGCUUCAUUUUUUUGACCAUGCUAGCUAUAUCGUAUAGUGUUUUUUUUUAUUGAAUGGACUUGAAUUCUCUUCCAGCUAAAAGAUCGACCAAGCUGAUUUCUUCCAAAAACUAAAAAUAAAUUCAAUCAACUCGGUAUGUAGUUUCAAGAUUGAAUUGGAUUUUUUUUGUUUCUUCAUAUCAUUUUAUCUUUAUUUACACUACUUUUUAUUACUAUUGUUUCAUUAUAAAAUUAUAUGCAUCGUAAGCAUUAUUAGAUCUCUGAAAGCCUGGAUGAACCGUACGUUCAAAGUAGAUACUGGUCGUUUAGAUAUAUAUCAGCAGCCCAGUGUCUUUAAUUUUUUGCUUUUACCAUGAUGAACAUACAGAGAGAGAGAGAGAGAGAGAGAGAGAGAGAGAGAGAGAGAGAGAGAGAGAGAGAGAGAGA